GAUGGGGUAGCUGUUUAUAUAUAUAUAUAUAUAUAUAUAUAUCCAUCUAAAAUAGGCAGGAGCACUCACUUGUUAAAAGUAAAAAAUUUAUUAGAACAUCUUUAAAAAAGAUCAGCGUUUCAGUCCUGCAUAGAGGACUUUCAUCAGGAUCAUCCAUAUCAACUUUUGAUGCCAGUUUCUGUGCCUACCAUUGUGACCACGGGUAAUGGGGAAUCAGGGUUCCAUUCCAUACAGAAACGGCUACCACAUGCAAGUAGGCAGCAGGUGCGCAAAUGACCCACUCCCGAUGCGGGAAGGUAGUGACGACAAAUAACAAUACAGGACUCUUUAGAAGCCCUGUAAUUGUAAUGAGUCCACUUGAAAUCCUUUAACUCUGAUCAAUUGGAGGGAAGUCUGGUGCAGAGCCACUGACCCAUGCGUGCUGCAGCUGAAACUCCACUAUC